GAUGAACGCUGGCGGCGUGCCUAAUACAUGCAAGUCGAGCGAACGGACGAGAAGCUUGCUUUUCUGAUGUUAGCGGCGGACGGGUGAGUAACACGUGGAUAACCUACCUAUAAGACUGGGAUAACUUCGGGAAACCGGAGCUAAUACCGGAUAAUAUUUUGAACCGCAUGGUUCAAUAGUGAAAGACGGCCUUGCUGUCACUUAUAGAUGGAUCCGCGCUGCAUUAGCUAGUUGGUAAGGUAACGGCUUACCAAGGCAACGAUGCAUAGCCGACCUGAGAGGGUGAUCGGCCACACUGGAACUGAGACACGGUCCAGACUCCUACGGGAGGCAGCAGUAGGGAAUCUUCCGCAAUGGGCGAAAGCCUGACGGAGCAACGCCGCGUGAGUGAUGAAGGUCUUCGGAUCGUAAAACUCUGUUAUUAGGGAAGAACAUAUGUGUAAGUAACUGUGCACAUCUUGACGGUACCUAAUCAGAAAGCCACGGCUAACUACGUG
rnacentral:rRNA from 1 species